rnacentral:rRNA from 1 species
UGCAAGUCGAGCGGGGGAAGGUAGCUUGCUACCGGACCUAGCGGCGGACGGGUGAGUAAUGCUUAGGAAUCUGCCUAUUAGUGGGGGACAACAUCUCGAAAGGGAUGCUAAUACCGCAUACGUCCUACGGGAGAAAGCAGGGGAUCUUCGGACCUUGCGCUAAUAGAUGAGCCUAAGUCGGAUUAGCUAGUUGGUGGGGUAAAGGCCUACCAAGGCGACGAUCUGUAGCGGGUCUGAGAGGAUGAUCCGCCACACUGGGACUGAGACACGGCCCAGACUCCUACGGGAGGCAGCAGUGGGGAAUAUUGGACAAUGGGCGCAAGCCUGAUCCAGCCAUGCCGCGUGUGUGAAGAAGGCCUUAUGGUUGUAAAGCACUUUAAGCGAGGAGGAGGCUACUUUAGAUAAUACCUAGAGAUAGUGGACGUUACUCGCAGAAUAAGCACCGGCUAACUCUGUGCCAGCAGCCGCGGUAAUACAGAGGGUGCAAGCGUUAAUCGGAUUUACUGGGCGUAAAGCGCGCGUAGGCGGCUAAUUAAGUCAAAUGUGAAAUCCCCGAGCUUAACUUGGGAAUUGCAUUCGAUACUGGUUAGCUAGAGUGUGGGAGAGGAUGGUAGAAUUCCAGGUGUAGCGGUGAAAUGCGUAGAGAUCUGGAGGAAUACCGAUGGCGAAGGCAGCCAUCUGGCCUAACACUGACGCUGAGGUGCGAAAGCAUGGGGAGCAAACAGGAUUAGAUACCCUGGUAGUCCAUGCCGUAAACGAUGUCUACUAGCCGUUGGGGCCUUUGAGGCUUUAGUGGCGCAGCUAACGCGAUAAGUAGACCGCCUGGGGAGUACGGUCGCAAGACUAAAACUCAAAUGAAUUGACGGGGGCCCGCACAAGCGGUGGAGCAUGUGGUUUAAUUCGAUGCAACGCGAAGAACCUUACCUGGCCUUGACAUAGUAAGAACUUUCCAGAGAUGGAUUGGUGCCUUCGGGAACUUACAUACAGGUGCUGCAUGGCUGUCGUCAGCUCG